UGAUCCCAUGGCUCAGAUUGAACGCUGGCGGCAGGCCUAACACAUGCAAGUCGAGCGGCAGCACGGGUACUUGUACCUGGUGGCGAGCGGCGGACGGGUGAGUAAUGCCUAGGAAUCUGCCUGGUAGUGGGGGAUAACGCUCGGAAACGGACGCUAAUACCGCAUACGUCCUACGGGAGAAAGCAGGGGACCUUCGGGCCUUGCGCUAUCAGAUGAGCCUAGGUCGGAUUAGCUAGUUGGUGAGGUAAUGGCUCACCAAGGCGACGAUCCGUAACUGGUCUGAGAGGAUGAUCAGUCACACUGGAACUGAGACACGGUCCAGACUCCUACGGGAGGCAGCAGUGGGGAAUAUUGGACAAUGGGCGAAAGCCUGAUCCAGCCAUGCCGCGUGUGUGAAGAAGGUCUUCGGAUUGUAAAGCACUUUAAGUUGGGAGGAAGGGCAUUUACCUAAUACGUAAGUGUUUUGACGUUACCGACAGAAUAAGCACCGGC
rnacentral:rRNA from 2 species